CCCAAGGUGGGGUCUGACGCCCCCGACAAUAUGACCUUGGCUAGGCGCCUUCUUUCCUCUGGGCCUCAAUUCCCUCCAAGCCAGGGUUGACCUCGGAUGUGCAUCCUUCUGUCUGAGGCCUGCCCUGAUUAUGGGCCAUCUCUCCUGCUCAGGGCUUCCUUGUUCUUGUGGGGUGGUGGACAGAGCCUGCUCUGGAGUUGGACCAACCUGUGUUUAAAUCUCCUUUCUGCUACUUGUUGGCCUUGUGACUUUAGGCAAGCUGCCUACUAUCUCU
rnacentral:lncRNA from 1 species